GACGAACGCUGGCGGCGUGCCUAACACAUGCAAGUCGAGCGGAGAUAUAUGGAAGGUUUACCGGAAAUAUAUCUUAGCGGCGGACGGGUGAGUAACGCGUGGGCAACCUGCCUCAUACAGGGGGAUAACACAGGGAAACUUGUGCUAAUACCGCAUGAAAUCAUAGUAUGGCAUCAUACAAUGAUCAAAGGAGCAAUCCGGUAUGAGAUGGGCCCGCGUCCGAUUAGCUAGUUGGUGAGGUAACGGCUCACCAAGGCGACGAUCGGUAGCCGAACUGAGAGGUUGAUCGGCCACAUUGGGACUGAGACACGGCCCAGACUCCUACGGGAGGCAGCAGUGGGGAAUAUUGCGCAAUGGGGGAAACCCUGACGCAGCAACGCCGCGUGAAGGAAGAAGGCCUUCGGGUUGUAACUUACUUUGUAUAGGGGACGAGUAAUGACGGUACCCGUAAAACAAGCCACGGCUAACUACGUGCCAGCACGCCGCGGUAAUCAUACUCGUAC
rnacentral:rRNA from 1 species